rnacentral:lncRNA from 1 species
CACCUUCUCUCGAAUAACUUCAUUCUUAAUCUUAUCUAACCUGGUGAGCCUGUACAUCCACCUAAGCAUCCUCGUCUCCGAAACCUUCAUUCUCCAAACAUGAGAGUUCUUCACUAGCCAGCACUCCGCCCCAUACAACAUGGCAGGUCUAACUACAGCUCUAUAAAAUUUCCCCUUGAGUUUCUGCGGAACUUUCUUGUCACACAGGACUCCUGAUGCAAGCCUCCACUU